rnacentral:rRNA from 1 species
GUUUACAGCCUGAUCACAUCUGAGCUCCUCUGAGCUAGCAGGGUCGGGCCUGUAUAGUACUUGAUGGGAGACCAACGGGGGAUAACAGGUGCUGUUUGACC